AGUGUCGCUGCUUUCGUCUGUAACAUAACAUGUCUCUGGUUGCUGGUCCGAAACCGCUUACGUCCGUUGGGGCACCUUAGAUGCCGAUGCAUAUUUACCAUCACCUUUCCAGGUAGCCGUCCCUAAUUUUGCAAUGAUAGACUAUAGGGAAGGCAGCUGGUCAACACCACCCACCGUCAACUCUUGCACUAUUGUUUCACCAACGAGUAGUGAGAUUGACUGUGAGUUUAUAACGCUCCCACGGUUGAUAGGGUGAUGUCAUUUUAAGGACUUAUAACUCUAAAGUUCGGGGUUCGAUUCCCCGUGGUGGACGGAG